GUUAUUGUUGCUUUGUUUAGAAUUGUGCCAAAUAGUAAUUUUAUAAGUGACUAUUGGUCGGACUGUUGAGCUAAAGCUAUGCUAGUGGCAGCUUUAUUAACCCUCCUGUUCUCC